AGAGCGAACGCUGGCGGCAGGCCUAACACAUGCAAGUCGAGCGCCCGUAGCAAUACGGGAGCGGCAGACGGGAUAGUAACACGUGGGAACGCGCCCUUCGGUUCGGAAUAACUCAGGGAAACUUGAGCUAAUACCGGAUACGCCCUUACGGGGAAAGAUUUAUUGCCGAAGGAACGGCCCGCGUCCGAUUAGCUAGUUGGUGAGGUAAUGGCUCACCAAGGCGACGAUCGGUAGCUGGUCUGAGAGGAUGACCAGCAUCACUGGGACUGAGACACGGCCCAGACUCCUACGGGAGGCAGCAGUGGGAAUAUUGGACAAUGGGCGCAAGCCUGAUCCAGCCAUGCCGCGUGGAUGAUGAAGGCCUUAGGGUUGUAAAGUCCUUUUAACGGGAAGAUAAUGACGGUACCGUAGAAUAAGCCCGGCUAACUUCGCGCCAGCAGCCGC
rnacentral:rRNA from 1 species